UCUUAUGCCACUGUGUCCUUAACAAUGUGAUGCUGGCUGUUUAUCAUGCGCAGUGUCGAUGGGUGGCAGAAGUUCGUGGUUAGCCUUCUCUCUGGGAACAAGUAGUUUUAUAGGCAGUUGAAGAGAGGAACAGAGAGCCAGAAGUCCAAAUCCUGAGGCCUGGACCCUGCUGUGACAAGACAAGCAAAGAUCCUUUUGGAACCAGAGAGUAAUCUGGAUCCAUUCCCAGCACCUCGUACAGAGCUCCAGGAAAUUAGUUUGAGGAGGCCAUGUGAGUGAAAUUCUACAGCAUAAGAGAAAUCACUGAUCAUCUGACUGGACCCAGAAGACUCCUGGCUUCCACACAUACCCACGAAUCAUCUGAUUACGGUCCACUCUCAGGAUUCUUCCCCUAUCAACGCACUGAAUUUACUUUCAACCCAGGUACCAAAAACUUCAUUUAUCAAUGUAAUAAACUCCUUUCAGUGAAGUCCUACUUGUCCUGUGUCUUCUGAUAGUGUUGCCAACACCCUGUUUCAAAGCCCAUGUUCUAGUUUUCCUUAUUCUCUGUCUCUGGGUCUAGGUUCUUUGUUCACUUCAAUUUUUUCUUAAAAGAGUUUUCUCAUAACUGGUCUUUUCCCUGCCUCCUUUUAUUUCCUAAAACAUAAAAAGAACUCUGUCAUUAUCAUGUUUACAAACAUAUAAUGCCCGCCAA